rnacentral:rRNA from 1 species
ACGGCUCAGUAACACGUCAAUAAUCUGCCCUUAAGUCUGGAAUAACUUCGGGAAACUGAGGAUAAUACCGGAUAGGGGAAUUUGGCUGGAAUGCCUUUUCCUUUAAAGCUUCGGCGCUUAAGGAUGAGUUGGCGGCUGAUUAGGCAGUUGGUGGGGUAAAGGCCCACCAAACCUAUGAUCAGUACGGGCCAUGAGAGUGGUAGCCCGGAGAAGGGUACUGAGACACUGACCCUAGCCCUACGGGGUGCAGCAGGCGCGAAACCUUUACAAUGCACGCAAGUGUGGUAAGGGAACCCCUAGUGCUCAUGUUAUGCAUGGGCUUUUGCUGAGAGUAAAUAUCUUGGCGAAUAAGUGGUGGGUAAGACUGGUGCCAGCAGCCGCGGUAACACCAGCGCCACGAGUGGUAGCCGCGUUUAUUGGGCCUAAAGCGUCCGUAGCUGGUUUGAUAAAUCCUUUGUGAAAUCAUUAUGCUUAACAUAAUGGCGUGCAGGGGAGACUGUCAAACUUGGGACCGGGAGGGGCUAGAAGUAUUCCAGGGGGAGCGGUUAAAUGCUAUAAUCCUUGGAGGACUACCUGUGGCGAAGGCGUCUAGCUAGAACGGAUCCGACAGUGAGGGACGAAAGCUGGGGGAGCAAACCGGAUUAGAUACCCGAGUAGUCCCAGCAGUAAACUCUGCGAGCUAGGUGUUGCAUAAUCUUCGUGGUUAUGCAGUGUCGAAACGAAGGUGUUAAGCUCGCCGCCAGGGAAGUACGGUCGCAAGGCUGAAACUUAAAGGAAUUGGCGGGGAGCAC